rnacentral:misc_RNA from 1 species
GGGGCUUCUUGAUGCCAAAGCCAUUGACUAUCCUAUGUCCAAAGGGCUCAAGCUUGAUACUGAAACUGGCACCUUACUCUUGAAUCCUGAACGUUAUCGACGUGUGAUAGGGCGGUUACUGUAUCUUAGUCUUACAUGCCCAGAUAUUACCUAUGCUGUACAACGUUUAAGCCAAUUCAUUCAAAGUCCACGACAGCCACACUGGGAGGCUGUCCUUCAUUUGCUUCGAUACUUGAAAGGGUCCCCAACCAAAGGAUUAUUCUUUCCUGCACAGAACUCACUUCAGUUACAAGUGUUCUCUAAUGCCGACUGGGCAAGCUGUCCUAUGACCCGAAAAUCUCUAACUGGCUACUGUAUAUUUCUUAGCUCAUCUUUGAUUUCAUGGAAGUCAAAAAAGCAAACUACCAUUAGUCGAUCUUCUGCUGAAGCAGAAUACCGGAGUAUGGCAUCAACUGUUUGUGAAUUGCAAGUGGCUGUCUUACUUACUCAAGGAUUUUCAACUUUCCCUUUCUUUGCCGAUUCCUUUGUAUUGUGAUAACAAGGCAACGAUCCAUAUUUCUGAGAAUCCUGUUUUUCAUGAAAGGACCAAACACUUGGAUAUAGACUGUCACAUAAUUCGCCAACAGGUCCUCAAUGGCUUUAUUCAAACAACACAUCUUUCGGCCAAACAUCAGCUUGCUGAUUUCUUCACAAAGCUAUUAACUUCACACCUUUUUCAUUUCUUGGGAUUGGUUAACUUAAACCCCUCUCCAUCUUGAGGGGGGAUGAAGAAUAUAAGUUAUCCAGAAAAGUUAUAA